rnacentral:rRNA from 1 species
CAGUCGCCGCGGUAAAACGUAGGGUGCAAGCGUUAAUCGGAAUUACUGGGCGUAAAGCGUGCGCAGGCGGUUUGUUAAGACAGAUGUGAAAUCCCCGGGCUCAACCUGGGAACUGCAUUUGUGACUGGCAAGCUAGAGUGUGGCAGAGGGGGGUGGAAUUCCGCGUGUAGCAGUGAAAUGCGUAGAUAUGCGGAGGAACACCGAUGGCGAAGGCAGCCCCCUGGGCCAACACUGACGCUCAUGCACGAAAGCGUGGGGAGCAAACAGGAUUAGAUACCCCCGUAGUCCCUGUCUCUUAUAC